rnacentral:rRNA from 1 species
GGAGGGUGACACUCCCGUCGUUGCCCCCGCGCGGCGCGCGUAUGGUCCGUUUUCGACGAGUCKAGUUGCUUGGGAUUGCAGCUCARAGUGGGUGGUAAAUUCCAUCUAAAGCUAAACACGCGUGGGAGACCGAUAGCGAACAAGUACCGUGAGGGAAAGAUGCAAAGAACUUUGAAAAGAGAGUUAAAGAGUGCCUGAAAUUGCUGAAAGGGAAGCGAAGGAAAUCAGUGUCUGUCGGUCUUGCUUCUCCGUUCGUCUUCGGGCGUUCGGAUCGCGGUUCCGGCGUGGCCAGGGCCGGGUGUCUUUGCGGGAGCCUGCGCGMGGGGAGGUACGUCUCUUCGGAGAGGGAAUGCC